UGGCUCUCAGUAGGUGAUGUGGGGCAUCCCCUUAGCUUCCAUUUCAUUUUAAAAGCCUUAGACGUUCAGAACAGCUCAUGCAAAUUCAACAUCAAGCAUGAAGCAUAGGAUGGCACCACGUGAGAUUUUGGGCCUGCCAUACACUCCUGCACAUAGCGUGCAUGUCUACAUUGUUUCCUCAAAAUACUAUUUUUUCUAAUCUAAUUUUGUCUGCACACAAAGCACACAAAGAUUAUUAUGCUCAACUUGCUGUUCCACAUGGACGUGUGUCUGUGCUGUCAUUUUGAGUGUUAAAGGCUUUCUUGACCCAUGGCCAUGCUUAAAAAGAAGCUAUUUCUCAGUCCACUUCUGAAUACUUAUAUAAGGCCCCAUGUUACCAUACAGAAAGACACACACACAAUAGGAAACUCCAAUGUGACUAUGGCCUCCACCCUCUCUCUCUCACACACAUAUUCUCACACACACACACACGUAUACACGUGCACACACAUAUAUACACAUACACACAGGGAACCAUGCUAACGGUUGCAAGAACACUUGGUCCAAUUUGCCUCUUUUGUUGUUUUAUUAGCGUUACCACUAACCAAGCAGGAUAAAAAUUUCCUUUAGCUCAUAUUGUAUUUAGACCACACUCGUAAAAAAAAAAAAACAAGAAAAAAAAAAAAAACAAAUAGGCUACAUACUAGAUUAUAUUCACAAGCAUGCACAAGCACAUCUUAAUGCUAAUUUUGAUAUAGAAAUGUCCUUCCAUAUGAAUUAGAGACGCAGACCUAGGGGAGUCAAAAUGGCGGCGAAAGAGCGACGAUACCUUUGACCUAAUUAGCAUUCCUCGUCUUCUACAUAUGAGCUUCUUGUGUCUUUUUUAUUUGGACAUUCUAUGCUUAUUUCAAAUAAUAGGGACAAAAUACAUUUCAUCUGAAUGUUCACACUAUGUGUAUUUAGAAGGAAUCCAUAAAACACGGAACCAAUAUAUAUAUAUAGAUUUUUUUUUGUUAUAAAUAGGUAUACAUGUACAGGAUCUCUCUGAUAGCGAGCACAGCAUAAUGCCUCUUCUGCUGUUACCACUAAUAAUAAUAUUCAGAAUAUUAUUCAUUUGACAUUACAUUUUUCGUAUUUAGCGUAUGUGUGUCAAUAAAAAUGGAUUUUUGAAUACAUUUCCUCGUUGUCCUCUAUAGCCAGGCAUGAGCCUCCACAUAGGUUUCGCCACCCAGAGCUGCACUGGGCGCCAUUUUCUUAUUUGCUGACGUUGGAUUGCUUAUUCUCAAUGAUGGCGACCACGUGCCAUUUCAAUCUGACUUGAAAUUCAAUUCAGAAUAUUAAAAGCAGGACAGCACGACGACAAAAGUGAGUUGAUGUGCAGUGAAUCUGCAAAAACAGUCAGUUCCACUGGUCUGGUCGAUUGCCAUGAAGCCCCGCCCCCGGGCAGUGACGUUGCUAAUCACACAGGCACGUGAAAAUCUACACUGCUUAAAGUAAUGAUGCGCCUGGGAGAGUGACGUCAUGACAGUGGACUACACAUUCAACCUUGUCAUCGAAGAGAACAAAUAUCAAUCAGUAAUGUCUUUUACUAGAUUGUUCAUGAUUAUUUUUGAAUUCUGUCAACCUGCUAGUUUUCCCUUGAUCUGUGUAUAUACAAAAUGAUGUAUACCUUUUUUACUUGUUCUAAGUUAGUGGUAUUUGAAUUAUUAUUCUUAUUUUUUUUAGAAUGUAGAUUAUGACAUUUAUAAAGCAUGGUGAUUGAAGAGGCACCACUGUGGUUUCUCUCAUCUGUGUUUGAUGACUACCCUUUUAAAUUGAAUCUUGCAAUAAACAGCACUAUCCUCACAGCUCUGCAUUAGGGGGCAGUUUCUGUCAGAGGGGUUGUUGCUGAUGUCAAAAAAUUAUAUCCAAGUCUAGACACUUUUACAAAGUGUAAUUUUACAUUUGAUUAUAUAAUCUAGAGAUUUUCAUAUGUUGAGAAUCUGCUGUUGUCUAAUUCAUAUUUAGGAAAAGCCAAAAUCCCUACAUGUGAAUUAAGAUCAAUUUUUGU